AUACUUACCUGGCAAUGAAGAUACCAGGAUCACAAAGGUGGUUUUCCUGGGGUAACACUCACCCAUUGCAUUAGGGAUUUGCCUAUUUCUGUAAUUUCCUCAAAGGGGGAAAAUUGACUGCAUUAUUUGUGAUAAUGGGGCUGCA
rfam:Dipodomys ordii contig_37584, whole genome shotgun sequence.